UAGGGAGACCAUCUGAUAGUCGACCGAACCUAAACAAUAGGUCAACAUCAGUCAUCCCUGGUCGUUCGAGGAAUAGAUGUCAAAGCUUUCAAACUAUUAACUGGUUCGGAACUCGCGGGCUAUUAGCUCAGUUGGUUAGAGCGCACCCCUGAUAAGGGUGAGGUCCCUGGUUCAAAUCCAGGAUGGCCCACCUGGAAAAAAAGUGAUGAAUUGUCAGUAAUGAGUAAUGGAUAAUCUUAGAUUAAUUCAGGACUCAUAAAAUCAAAAUCAGAACUUGCUUAGUGGGGGUAUAGCUCAGUUGGUAGAGCGCCUGCCUUGCACGCAGGAAGUCAGCGGUUCGAGUCCGCUUACCUCCACUCUCACUAGCUACAACCAAGCGCCAAAAAAACCAAAAGAAAUAGAAAUCAGCACCCAGACUAACUUGGUCAAAAAAGAAGUCGGAAUGCUGGAGUCUAGAACUCUAGUCAGAACCUUGAAAACUGCAUAGAAAUUAAGUCAUCAAAGCGUGUCAGUCAUCCGAUUACUCGGAAGAUAAGACAAGCGACAACCAUCAAAAAAUCAAGU
rnacentral:tRNA from 1 species